AUUGAACGCUGGCGGCAGGCCUAACACAUGCAAGUCGAGCGGCAGCGGGACCUUCGGGUCGCCGGCGAGCGGCGGACGGGUGAGUAAUGCCUAGGAAUCUGCCUGUUAGUGGGGGAUAACGCGGGGAAACUCGCGCUAAUACCGCAUACGUCCUACGGGAGAAAGUGGGGGACCCUCGGGCCUCACGCUAACAGAUGAGCCUAGGUCGGAUUAGCUAGUUGGUGGGGUAAAGGCCCACCAAGGCGACGAUCCGUAACUGGUCUGAGAGGAUGAUCAGUCACACUGGAACUGAGACACGGUCCAGACUCCUACGGGAGGCAGCAGUGGGGAAUAUUGGACAAUGGGCGAAAGCCUGAUCCAGCCAUGCCGCGUGUGUGAAGAAGGUCUUCGGAUUGUAAAGCACUUUAAGUUGGGAGGAAGGGCGCUCGGUGAAUACCCAAGCGUCUUGACGUUACCGACAGAAUAAGCACCGGCUAACUUCGUGCCAGCAGCCGCGGUAACAC
rnacentral:rRNA from 1 species